rnacentral:lncRNA from 1 species
UGGCGGUGCCCGCUCACGGCCGGAUCCGAGUGUCCCAGUCUCUCCCGAGCCAGCCACUGCCGCUCCCGCCGUCAACGUCGCCGUCGACGUCGGCAUGGUCGCCUGCGGCGGCGAGGGAGGAGGCGUGGACACCCGCGGCUGCGAAGGCGGUGGCGAGGUCGUCCCGGCGCCCACUCCCGCUCCCAGAGGCCGUGGCGGCGGCGGCGCCCACUCCCAGCCCCUCUUCGUCGGCCGCGCCACCUGCAUGGCGAGAGAGAGAGGGAGAGGAGAGAAGGGAGAGAGAUAGAGUUGAAUAGGGGAAAAUAUCUGUGGUGGGAGAGAGAAGAUAGGAGAAGUUUGAAAAAUUUUGAAAUGGUGAGGAGGGAAAAACCACUAAAUAAAUUUUGAAUCAAAAUUUAUGAUAUUAAAUAAACUCAUAUGAAAAAG